CCUACGGGAGGCAGCAGUUGGGAAUCUUGGACAAUGGGGGAAACCCUGAUCCAGCCAUGCCGCGUGAGUGAUGAAGGCCUUCGGGUUGUAAAACUCUUUCGACGGGGACGAUAAUGACGGUACCCGUAGAAGAAGCUCCGGCUAACUUCGUGCCAGCAGCCGCGGUAAUACGAAGGGGGCUAGCGUUGUUCGGAAUUACUGGGCGUAAAGCGCGCGCAGGCGGUCUUCCAAGUCAGUGGUGAAAGCCCGGAGCUCAACUCCGGAACUGCCAUUGAAACUGUAAGACUUGAGGACGAGAGAGGUGAGUGGAAUUCCCAGUGUAGAGGUGAAAUUCGUAGAUAUUGGGAAGAACACCGGUGGCGAAGGCGGCUCACUGGCUCGUAUCUGACGCUCAGGCGCGACAGCGUGGGGAUCAAACAGGAUUAGAUACCCUGGUAGUCCACGCCGUAAACGAUGAAUGCUAGCCGUUGGGUAGCUUGCUAUCAGUGCGCNGCUACGCAUANANUCGCUGGNGUACGCGCAGUAGAACACANANAUGCGCGNGNGAGNGCGACGCGACGACGAGGAGAG
rnacentral:rRNA from 1 species